UACGUAGGGGGCGAGCGUUGUCCGAAGUUACUGGGCGUAAAGAGCGCGUAGGCGGGUCUUUAAGUGAGGGGUGAAAGGUUCGGGCUUAACCCGGACACUGCCUUUCAUACUGGGGACCUUGAGUGCGGGAGAGGCGAGUGGAAUGGUCGGUGUAGCGGUGAAAUGCGUAGAUAUCGAUCGGAACACCCAUGGCGAAGGCAGCUCGCUGGCCUGCAACUGACGCUGAGGCGCGAAAGCGUGGGGAGCAAACGGG
rnacentral:rRNA from 1 species